AAGACAGUUAAAAAUAUUCUUUAUGUAGUUUAGAGAGUGGUGUACCAAAACUGUUUUAGGUUUUGAAUGAGUGGAUAGUAGAUAAAGGCAACAGGAACACAGCAAAACACUAUCAAAUUGAUGUUCGAAACCUCCAGCAUAAUCAAUCAAGGAAAAUUGAUGCUGGGGUUUCUGACUGGGGAUUUUUCUUCAUGGACUAUAAAUUGCUUUUUUUAAAAAAAAAUCUGUCCUAAUAUUUAGCAAAUCUUGGUAUUCGUUAUACAUUUCUAUUAGUCGAUAGUUACUUUUCUUAUUGUGACAACAAAAUAGAGCACCCACAUGAGCUGUUUUUGCUACAGACAUCUUUGUAUCACAAGAUAAGUAGUACUACCUUUGUUGCAAAUAGUUUAUAUAUGUUUGUCUAGAUGAGUCUUCUCAUCUGCUGGUUAGGAACAGAGAGUGAAAAAGAGACAGAACAUUUGAAGACGUCACCUGAUGUUUCUAAACUCUAUGAAGCCAUAGGUGUGUGGCAGCAAGCACCCGUGAUCAAGCAGGAUCAGGCAGACACAAGCAUUUGCCUUUAACCAGCAUCAAACCCGAGAUUCCUCUUGGCUAUACUUGAGGUGACUAGAUGCCUUUAUAAAAGCUUAUAUCCACAAUUAGUCAGCCUGUGCUUCUUAACAGGAAUGGACAAUAUGAAUGAGGUAACAAAAGAAAAGAUUUUGGAACACUUCCCAAAUCUUCCCCACCCCCCUCUCCAGAGCGUCCUCUGGAUCCUCUUGUCCCUUUUCCAUGAGUGACCAUGAGCGGAGGUGGCACCUAUUGGACUAGUCACGGCCUAUUUCAUCAAUGUGGGCCUGGGGACCUGUAGUCUCUCCCCUUUUUUUAGUGACCCUAAAGAAGGGGGAGUUUGUUCAUAUUAUUCCUUGUACCGAUGUGACUCUCUAAUGGCCUGUGACCAUCAGGAUUCUUCCUGCAUGUUGCUUGGUUAAUCUCACCCUGUCUAUGAAGGACCCACUCUCCGUAAAACCUCUGGAGCAAACACCAGUCCCAUGUAUCAGGAAAGUCAGCCAACUUCUAAUGACUUCUCAUGACUGUGUAAGUUAGGGAAGGUUUCCUAAUCUGAUCACUCAUGGGCUGAAUCUCAAUUUCCUUAAAUGUUCUUUCCUUCUCUUUUUUUUUUGGUCCAUAUUUUUUAAAAAAACAUUAAAAAAAAAAUCACAUAAAAGGCAAGCCUGAUAGCUCUCAGGGUGAAUUCUUUUAAAGAGGACUAUCUGUCUGUCUGAAUUAAAAAUGAGUAUGUAAUAAUUUAUCACACAUGACGUUGGAUUGAGUACCCAUAUUCUAGAGACUAAGGAACACAGAAAACAAAGCCACCUAGAGAGCUUGGGGUGAGAUGAUCUCAGAAUGCUCUUUCCCUUUAGAACCUGACAAAUAUAUUAUACAAAACAAUGUAAGAAUUGAAAUAGUCACAUAGAAAUCAGCAAAUAUGCAAUAUAAAAAGUUAAAAUCCCAAAUAAUCUCUUUAAAAACAGGUAAACGUCAUGUAAACAAUGUCUAAAACCCAAAAGAGUGUCUUUUAAAAACUUGUAACUAUGUUGUAUGAGAAGUUAAAACCCAAAAUGGGGGGAGCGGUGCCGGAAGUACUCGGGGAGGGCCGCGCAGUCGGACCGGCAGCUGAGACGAAAGCUUCACUGGGGCAGUCUCCGCAUAUCAUGGGGAGAUAGACGCUACUGCCUUCGAUUGGCCUUGGUCCUCAUAGCUCCAAGAAGAAACAGGAUCUUGAUAAGCUCUAUGAGCUGAAGUCCAAAGCUCGGCAGAUUAUGAACCAGUUUGGCCCCUCAGCCCUAAUCAACCUCUCCAAUUUCUCAUCUAUAAAACCAGAACCAGCCAACACACCUCCACAAGGCUCCAUGGCCAAUAGCACUACUGUUGUAAAGAUUCCGGGCACUCCUGGGACAGGCGGUCGCCUGAGCCCUGAAAACAAUCAGGUAUUGACCAAGAAGAAAUUACAGGACUUAGUAAGAGAAGUGGACCCUAAUGAGCAGUUGGAUGAAGAUGUGGAGGAGAUGCUGCUGCAGAUCGCUGAUGACUUUAUUGAGAGUGUGGUGACAGCAGCCUGCCAGCUCGCUCAGCAUCGCAAGUCCAGUACCCUGGAGGUGAAAGAUGUCCAGUUGCAUCUAGAGCGCCAGUGGAAUAUGUGGAUUCCAGGAUUUGGCUCUGAAGAAAUCCGACCCUACAAAAAAGCUUGUACCAUAGAAGCUCAUAAACAGAGAAUGGCAUUGAUCUGGAAAACAACCAAGAAAUAACAUUUGGAAAGUCAGGGAAUGGACAACAAUGUAUUUGGAGAUACUUGAGCUGAGACCUCAGCCAUCUCAUCCUUGGAAUUUUUUUUUAGAUGCUUUACAGAGAAGCAUAUAUUUUUUAUUAACAGUGCAGCAAUAUCUAUAAUGACUGAGAAGAUCUG